CAGCAGCCGCGGGAAUACGGAGGGGCUAGCGUUGUUCGGAAUUACUGGGCGUAAAGCGCACGUAGGCGGCUUGGUAAGUUAGAGGUGAAAGCCUGGAGCUCAACUCCAGAAUUGCCUUUAAGACUGCCGAGCUAGCAGGUGAGAGAGGUAAGUGGAAUUCCGAGUGUAGCGGUGAAAUGCGUAGAGAUCGGGAGGAACAUCAGUGGCGAAGGCGGCCAUCUGGGACAACACUGACGCUGAGGCACGAAAGCGUGGGGAGCAAACAGGAUUAGAUACCCCUGUAGUCCCUGUCUCUUAUACA
rnacentral:rRNA from 1 species